UACGUAGGGUGCGAGCGUUGUCCGGAAUUACUGGGCGUAAAGAGCUCGUAGGUGGUUUGUCGCGUUGUUCGUGAAAACUCACAGCUUAACUGUGGGCGUGCGGUCGAUACGGGCAUCACUGGAGUUCGGCAGGGGAGACUGGAAUUCCUGGUGUAGCGGUGAAAUGCGCAGAUAUCAGGAAGAACACCCGUGGCGAAGGCGGCUCUCUGGGACGGUACUGACGCUGAGGAGCGAAAGCGUGGGGAGCGAACAGG
rnacentral:rRNA from 1 species